rnacentral:rRNA from 1 species
UGCGUAGGCGGUUUGGAAAGUCAGAUGUGAAAGCCUAUGGCUUAACCAUAGAACUGCAUUUGAAACUUCCAGACUAGAAUACUGAAGGGGCAGAUGGAAUUAGUGGUGUAGGGGUAAAAUCCGUAGAUAUCACUAGGAAUACCGAAAGCGAAAGCGAUCUGCUGGGAAGUUAUUGACGCUGAGGCACGAAAGCGGUGGGGAGCAAACG